rnacentral:rRNA from 1 species
GACGAACGCUGGCGGCGUGCCUAAUACAUGCAAGUAGAACGCUGAAGGAGGAGCUUGCUUCUCCGGAUGAGUUGCGAACGGGUGAGUAACGCGUAGGUAACCUGCCUGGUAGCGGGGGAUAACUAUUGGAAACGAUAGCUAAUACCGCAUAAGAGUAGAUGUUGCAUGACAUUUGCUUAAAAGGUGCAAUUGCAUCACUACCAGAUGGACCUGCGUUGUAUUAGCUAGUUGGUGGGGUAACGGCUCACCAAGGCGACGAUACAUAGCCGACCUGAGAGGGUGAUCGGCCACACUGGGACUGAGACACGGCCCAGACUCCUACGGGAGGCAGCAGUAGGGAAUCUUCGGCAAUGGACGGAAUUCUGACCGAGCAACGCCGCGUGAGUGAAGAAGGUUUUCGGAUCGUAAAGCUCUGUUGUAAGAGAAGAACGAGUGUGAGAGUGGAAAGUUCACACUGUGACGGUAUCUUACCAGAAAGGGACGGCUAACUACGUG